rnacentral:rRNA from 1 species
GACGAACGCUGGCGGCGUGCCUAAUACAUGCAAGUCGAGCGAGACUCUUCGGAGUCUAGCGGCGGACGGGUGAGUAACACGUGGGCAACCUGCCUGUAAGACUGGGAUAACACCGGGAAACCGGUGCUAAUACCGGAUAAUCCUUUUCCUCACAUGAGGAAAAGCUGAAAGUCGGUUUCGGCUGACACUUACAGAUGGGCCCGCGGCGCAUUAGCUAGUUGGUGAGGUAACGGCUCACCAAGGCGACGAUGCGUAGCCGACCUGAGAGGGUGAUCGGCCACACUGGGACUGAGACACGGCCCAGACUCCUACGGGAGGCAUCAGUAGGGAAUCUUCCACAAUGGACGAAAGUCUGAUGGAGCAACGCCGCGUGAGCGAUGAAGGCCUUCGGGUCGUAAAGCUCUGUUGUUAGGGAAGAACAAGUACCGGAGUAACUGCCGGUACCUUGACGGUACCUAACCAGAAAGCCACGGCUAACUACGUGCCAGCAGCAGCCGCCGUAA